UACCAGAUUAUUUAGAGUGUACUCGAAGAUAUCUUAAACAUUCAUUGCAACCAUUUUUACGUCAUGUGAAGUUAAUUAUUGUACUGGAAAAAAUUAGUUAGUACUACAAUAUCCGAUGACAUUUCCCUAUGUAAAUAUUUGCAUAUUUACAUAUUCCCCGAAUUGUCAAUCUCUGAUUGAGUUUUUCUUAUUUAGAUAAUAUAAAUAAAUGAGUUACCCAGUAUAAAUAUUUACGCAGUAACGAACACUGUAUUCUUUGUAUGUAAUGACACUUAUGCAAAUCUUAGGAUUUAAUUAAUUCCGUACAAAAAAUUCAUUUCAAAGUUAAUAGAGCAAGUUCAUCAUUGACCUAUGGAUGUGUGGGGCUUCCACUUUUUUUGCCACGAACCUGUUGUAGGAAAUUCCCGUGUCUGGCCAGAUACUUAAUUGUGUAACACCUGUUGGAAAUAGGUGAUAAAAAAAUAAACAUGCUAAGCUGACAGGUGGUACAUGUAAGACAAUAAGUAUCACCUUCAACGUCACAAAUCUACACAGUUAAACUUCAACUUUGAGGAGGAGACGGUGUUAAUUUUGCCAAAACUUCAGAUAAUUUUGGUUUUUCGAAAAAAAUCGAACUUCUGUAUAAUAAAUUUGGCAAGAUAAGCUGGAAAAUGUCGGGCAACACGGUCAAAUAUUAUCAAUUUUUGGGAGCUUCAAAUUCAGAAAGAAAAACUGAGCCGCAGAAGAAAAUUCCAACAUUUACGAAGCCACAUGUAAAACUUGGAUUGGAUAACUGCAGUGUGGAUAAGAGUACAGUGAAAUGGGGAAACUGCUCAUUCGGCCAAACCACCCACUCCUCUCGGAACCAUUUUAAUCUUGUUUGAAUAGUUUUAUUUUCUAUUUAUGAAUUACACACCAUCCAUGCUAUAAAUCUAUGUGAUUACUGAAUUGGGUAGAAGAAUAAGACAAAGUAGAAAUAUGUCAAUAAAAGUAUCUACACAAUAACGCUA